rnacentral:rRNA from 1 species
UACGGAGGGUCCAAGCGUUAUCCGGAAUCAUUGGGUUUAAAGGGUCCGUAGGCGGUUUUGUAAGUCAGUGGUGAAAGCCCAUCGCUCAACGGUGGAACGGCCAUUGAUACUGCAAGACUUGAAUUAUUAGGAAGUAACUAGAAUAUGUAGUGUAGCGGUGAAAUGCUUAGAGAUUACAUGGAAUACCAAUUGCGAAGGCAGGUUACUACUAAUAUAUUGACGCUGAUGGACGAAAGCGUGGGGGAGCGAACAGG